CUUUUGACCUGAAGUAAUCUGUUGUGUCUUCCAUGCUCUGAAGUUUAUUCCAGGUAGUCUACAAGUGAUGCAAUGAAAUCAGGAGAAAAGAGAUCUUAUCUAGUGCUGUGCGGCAGAAGUUUUCCACCCGGCAACAGGAUGACGUCAGCGGCCGGGAGGGCAACCAAUCAGCAGACGGAAUGAAUCAGAGCGUGCUGGGAUUUGGCUCAACUGUCUCCUAGC